rnacentral:misc_RNA from 1 species
GCGACCGGCCAAACCGGAAUCAUGAUCGCAGGAGCCGGCAUUCCGAUGGACGCGGUCGUGUCCGACUUCGCCGCCGGCGCAGGCGAGAUGCUCACUCCGGACUCGGCCGAUCACCAUUGGGACAUCAUCGAGGGGCAGGGCUCGCUACUCCACCCUUCCUUCGCGGGCGUGUCGCUGGCGCUCCUACAUGGCAGCCAGCCGGACGUGAUCGUCGUCUGCCACCAGGCGGGGCGCGAGAAGAUUCUCGGGCAUGAGCAGUAUGCGCUGCCCUCGAUCGAAGAGACGAUCGAGCUCAACC